UACGGAGGGUGCGAGCGUUAAUCGGAAUAACUGGGCGUAAAGCGCGCGCGGGCGGUCUUUUAAGUGAGGUGUGAAAUCCCCGGGCUUAACCUGGGAAUUGCAUUUCAUACUGGGAGUCUAGAGUACGGUAGGGGGGGGUGGAAUUCCACGUGUAGCGGUGAAAUGCGUAGAGAUGUGGAGGAAUACCGAAGGCGAAGGCAGCCCCUUGGGAAUGUACUGACGCUCAUGUGCGAAAGCGUGGGGAGCAAACAGG
rnacentral:rRNA from 1 species